AUAGGUGCCCGUACCGCAAACCGACACAGGUAGUCAAGAUGAGAAUUCUAAGGUGAGCGAGCGAACUCUCGUUAAGGAACUCGGCAAAAUGACCCCGUAACUUCGGGAGAAGGGGUGCUCUUUAGGGUUAACGCCCAGAAGAGCCGCAGUGAAUAGGCCCAAGCGACUGUUUAUCAAAAACACAGGUCUCUGCUAAACCGUAAGGUGAUGUAUAGGGGCUGACGCCUGCCCGGUGCUGGAAGGUUAAGAGGAGUGGUUAGCUUCUGCGAAGCUACGAAUCGAAGCCCCAGUAAACGGCGGCCGUAACUAUAACGGUCCUAAGGUAGCGAAAUUCCUUGUCGGGUAAGUUCCGACCCGCACGAAAGGCGUAACGAUUUGGGCACUGUCUCAACGAGAGACUCGGUGAAAUCAUAGUACCUGUGAAGAUGCAGGUUACCCGCGACAGGACGGAAAGACCCCGUGGAGCUUUACUGUAGCCUGAUAUUGAAAUUCGGCACAGCUUGUACAGGAUAGGUAGGAGCCUUUGAAACGUGAGCGCUAGCUUACGUGGAGGCGCUGGUGGGAUACUACCCUAGCUGUGUUGGCUUUCUAACCCGCACCACUUAUCGUGGUGGGAGACAGUGUCAGGCGGGCAGUUUGACUGGGGCGGUCGCCUCCUAAAAGGUAACGGAGGCGCUCAAAGGUUCCCUCAGAAUGGUUGGAAAUCAUUCAUAGAGUGUAAAGGCAUAAGGGAGCUUGACUGCGAGACCUACAAGUCGAGCAGGGUCGAAAGACGGACUUAGUGAU
rnacentral:rRNA from 1 species